rnacentral:rRNA from 1 species
AUUCCAGCUCCAAUAGCGUAUAUUAAAGUUGUUGCGGUAAAAAAGCUCGUAGUUGGAUUUCUGUCGAGAACAGCCGGUCACGAUUUUGUCGUUGUAUCUGGUUUGGUCUUGGCAUCCUCUUGGGGAACAUUUCUGCGCUUCACUGCGUGGAGUGGCAUUCAAGACUUUUACUUUGAGGAAAUUAGAGUGUUCACGGCAGGCAAUCGCCCUGAAUAUAUUAGCAUGGAAUAAUGAUAUAGGACCUUGGUUCUAUUUUGUUGGAUUCUAGAACUAAGGUAAUGAUUAAUAGGGACAAUUGGGGGCAUUCGUAUUAACGCGUCAGAGGUGGAAUUCUUAGAUUGCGUUACGACGAACUACUGCGAAAGCAUUUGCCAAGGAUGUUUUCAUCG